GUCGAGAAUUUUUCACAAUGGGCGAAAGCCUGAUGGAGCGACGCCGCGUGGGGGACCUGAAGGGCUUCGGCCUGUAAACCCCUGUCAUUUGCGAACAAACCUUCUUGUUGAACAGACAAGAAGCUGAUUGUAGCGAAAGAGGAAGGGACGGCUAACUCUGUGCCAGCAGCCGCGGUAAUACAGAGGUCCCAAGCGUUGUUCGGAUUCACUGGGCGUAAAGGGUGCGUAGGUGGUCGGGUAAGUUUGAUGUGAAAGCUCCGGGCUCAACCCGGAAAUGGCAUUGAAUACUGCCUGGCUGGAGGAUCGGAGGGGAGACUGGAAUUCUCGGUGUAGCAGUGAAAUGCGUAGAUAUCGAGAGGAACACCAGUGGCGAAGGCGAGUCUCUGGACGAUUCCUGACACUGAGGCACGAAAGCUAGGGGAGCAAACAGGAUUAGAAACCCUAGUAGUCC
rnacentral:rRNA from 1 species